rnacentral:misc_RNA from 1 species
GGAUCAAUGUUUGUUCCUCCAAAACUUGCAGCCUAUACAGACCAUUAUGACAUAUCAUCAGUUGAUUUAUCAGAAUUAACUACUAGUUAAUAUUCAUUUAGGAUAACAAUGCUAAGUAACUGGACAGUCCCAUGAAUUGUUAUAUAUUAUCAAUGCCCUGAAAAGAAAGAAGCACAAACCAUAAAGAUUCCAUGGAGUUGGGGGGUGGAGUAGUUGUAGAGGAAAAGGGGAAGGCCUGGAGUGAUCGCCCUCACUGAAUCUCGGUAACGUGGAGGCAAAUAUAAAUUAUAAUUCAAGAAACAGUUUAGAAAUGGGUAAUAACACACACAGAUUAAAAUCAAAAGAAACCUUGGUUUAGAAAAUUAUCCUAAAAAUCCCAGAACUUUUAUGCAAUGAACCCAAGAAGAACAUGAACAAUACUAUUAGACAGGGAAAGUAAAAAAAGAAUAACAGAGUUAGAAAUCGAUAGACAUACCAAGAGCUGCCUCUU